GACAAUAAAGUACAGCAAAGGUGUUAUUAUGAAUGCAAAUAGCUGUGAACUGGUCUGCCUGCACGUGUCGUCCAAUAAUGUGCCGGAGCAUUGCACACAAUGCAGUCACACCUGUUUGAAUACAAAUCACUGCAAGCAUCAGACUGUAACAUGUUCGAGGGACGUUAAAUGUUCAUUUGAUGUCGUGCUGAUGGUUUUAUUCCACACUGAAAGUGACCGGACUGAGUCCCUGAGCUGGACCUCUGCACAUCUAAACGAAGCUGCUUUAGAUGCAUUUACGUGCAGACACUGAUGCGGGAGACGCUGGGUGGUUUCAGCAGCUUUUGUCACUGACGUGGUCGAACAGCAGUCAAGGAGGAGCUGCUGGUCUGAACGGCAUACACGAGUCGUGUUUUGAAGAGCGCUGCAGGGAGGUCAAGGUCUGCUCGGUAAUCAUUGACAGAGACUGUGGAAAGCUGCAGGCUGGAAGCCCGUCUCACUGUAACACUGAGAGAAAACAUGCCAGGCUUCAAAUGUGAAGCCAGCACAUUUAUAAAUCCUGUGUUUAUGAAUGAAUAACACACUCCUCUCUAACAAACCUCAAACCUGAACCCUCUAACCACAGCCUGGGACAGAAAAUGGUCCCAGUCCUCCCAGUUUGGGAAUGAGAUGAAGGCAAAAACAAACAGUCGGUCUGUGUAUCUGUGUCUUUGCAGUUUAUUUACAGGAACCACAGGACAGCACACAGUCAGCCGAUGAUGCAGAGACAGAGAACGACCUCGUGGACUUUGGCCGAUGCUGCCGGGUUUAUGAUGAAUGUACUGACAUGAUUUUAAGAGUCAGUUAUUUAAAUGAUUGAAUUAUAAAUAUCUCUAAUUAUAAAGCAUUACACAGCGAACAAACCAUCAUCUGUGAGCAGUACUUGGCGACAGCAGGGAGGAAGAAUGCCCUUUUACUAUGAAGAGACCUAGAACAUUCAGCCACUCAUCAGUAAUGACUACAUGUCAUUUACAUAUUUCCAUGCACAAGAACAUCUGUUGCUGUUGUGGAAAUACGGGAACAAUGAGAUCGUCCGUAACGUUUAGAGUUUAGGUUCAAAACGAUGUUUGAACCAGUUAGUUAGCUUGCUAGCUUCCAUGUAAAGGUGAUACUCCACGUUCUGACUGAAGAACCUGGGACAGGUUAAACAGCAGCGAGGUUGGAGGGUUAGUGAAGCUAGGCUAGCUGACAGGUGGAGAUUUAAACACAUGAGCACAGAAAGAUGGAGGACCGCGGUUAAACUGUCCCCAAUGAAAGUUCACACUGAGACAAUCGCCAUCACAUGACAGCAAGAAGACACCAAAAAGAGAACGUCUGGGGUGAUCGGUCCACAGCAGGGGUCAGAGGUCAGGUCGCUGUUAAAGUCCUGAUCCUCAGCUUCUACUCUGAAGACUUCAGGUCUUUGCUGCAGCCACAGCGCUCAAUAUAUUUAUGACACCAGUGUCAAGUUCAUGAAUUAUUACAGUUAUUCCUCGAGUGUGCGCUUUAACCACUGUGAUAUUUUCAAUAGUAAGAUAUGAUCAUUGUUGUUAUUAUUUUUAUUCAGAAUCGCAGUUUUAGUGGUCGAAGUCCUGUGUGCCCGUUAAUAUAAAUGUACGUUUUUAACAGGUUUUUGACAAAUUUCUAAUAUAUUUGUGUUCUUGUUUCUAUGACAGCUCAGUCUCACGCUGCAUCAGAAUAACGGUGAUAAAAAGCUGAGCACAGAAGAGUUUCAUUAAAAAGAGGAGAGACAGACACGAGCACAGAGACGCCCUCUCCUCUGCAGGAGGGGUGGGUCGGUCGUAGCUCUGUCCCCGGCCUUUAUCAAACUGCCCUCCAGUUUGGGCGUUGCCUGUGUCUGCUCUGAUCUUUGACGGGGGCUGUGACCUCAGAGCGCUCCCCAGCUCUGGGUCCCAAACUCCUGAAAAUCAAAGCUCUUUAAGCACAGAACAACUCGUACUGGACAUCAGCUGGUGGUGGGAGUCACGCGCAGUGUUUGGCUGAUUGUGUCUGGGAGCUCUGUGAACACACAAGGAAGUUUAAGUCAGACAGAGAGAGCAGAGGCCACGGCUGUGAGUAUGGAAGCCCAUCAGCGCCCAGAAGUCAACGACAGGCUUCAUAAAACCUUCAUUACUUAAAACUUCAGUCAGUCAGAAUGAUUUACACGAUGCAUCACAGUCGAGAUUAGGUCUUUUUAAUGUCCUGGUGAUCUUCAAAGUGAAAUGAAAAACUACUCGCUGCUGAUUCCCGAUGGCUGACUUUACAGACGGAGUAUUUUCCUGUUUUGAAACUGGACGAGUUGAUGAGUGACAGGUGGAUCUACCGGUCACAGGUAGCCCCGCCCUCCUCCUCCUUCCUGUUCCUCUCGGACUCUGACGGGACCAAAAUCUCCAAAAUAAACUUCCUGUUUUCUUCAGUCUGACCUGAAAGCAGCGACUGAACCCAGAUCAGCUGAGCAGGACGCUCAUUUUCUCACAGACUUCUAUACAGUCAGAGUUUAGAGGAGUCGCCCCCUGCUGGGCAUUAGGAGGAGUGCAGGUUUAAUGUGCUGCAGCAGUUUCCAUCUUUAUAGACAGUCAAUUACAAUACAAAAAAAUUAAACUCUGACUAAAUGUGGCACUAGUUCAUGAUUAAUUACUGGAUUAUGAUAAUAAUAAGUUACAGUUCAGCUUCUGUUUGGAUUAAACUGAGUAGUAAAUAUGUUACUUUAAGCUUCUUCUGUAUGAAUGUGAGCAUGACUCUUUUUAAGCUUGAAACCCAACGCAGACAGAAACUCGACUCUGUGCUUGUUUGUGUUUAUUUCUGAUGUUUCAAAAUAAAUGUAAACUCGGCAGCACAGCGGCAAAAAGCUGCUGCUCUGUCGGCUCGGCUCGCA